rnacentral:rRNA from 1 species
UACGUAGGUGGUUUGGUAAGUCGGAUGUGAAAGCCCUGGGCUCAACCUGGGAACUGCAUUCGAUACUGCCAGCCUAGAGUAUAGUAGAGGGAAGUGGAAUUCCGGGUGUAGCGGUGAAAUGCGUAGAUAUCCGGAGGAACACCAGUGGCGAAGGCGGCUUCCUGGACUAAUACUGACACUGAGGUACGAAAGCGUGGGGAGCAAACAGGAUUAGAUACCCUGGUAGUCC